rnacentral:lncRNA from 1 species
GCCAUAUUUAAUUUCAAGCCUUCAUUCUGAAUUUAUGGGUUCGAAAAAUUCGCUUUUUUUAAGCGACGACGAAUGAUUUGAACGAAGAGGAAAGUGCGGGGGUGACUGAAUAAUAUUCAGGUAAGGAUAUUGUUAUGUUAUAUGUAUAAUGGAGCAGUUUUGAAAGGAAAUAUUUGCUAUCUACAUUCAUGAAUUUUGAGCAUAUGUUCAUCAGUUCAUGUUUAAAAUUUGAAUUUGCCGCGACAAUAUUUGAAUUAAAAAGAUGAUAUAAAUACAUUUAUAGAAAGGCUUACAUUUGACUUUAUAUUAAAUUAUGUUUACUAUAUAAAGGGCAACUAAUAUUUGUGUUUGUAUAUGAAUAUAUGACAGAUUGCCAGAUAACAAUGUUUCUGGUAUAAAGUAUAAACAUAGCUUGGCAUCUACUCGAUCAUCAUAUGCUUACCUACACAUGUCCCAGCUAAACAUGGUUUUAGAAAAUGUAACCACUUGUUUCAAAUCAACUGCUACUUUCAUAAGUUUCUUAUUUUUAUAUAUCUAGGUUUGUUAUGUCCAAAUUCUUCAAUCAAUGAAAAAAUCUAUUUCACUAUGAAAGGUGUUAUGCGCCAGUCAAUGAAAACUUAUACAACUCAGACUGUUGCUGAUAAGUGGGGGUUAAGUGGCAGGGAGAUUUUCCAUGCUACCGUAAACCUCCAAAUAUAAGCCCCCCGUGUAUAAGCCCACCUCAUGUACUAACACUCACCUCAUUCCGAAUAUAUACCCCCCCCCCCCCCGAAUAUAAGCCCAGUAGCCCACUAUGUUAUUCAACAUUGACAUUGUCUUUUAAUUAAUUAAGCCAUUAAGCUGCAGAGCUUCCCCAUUGACAAGUAAAAUUGUCCGGUGGGGCGCAUUGCGGCUUGAUGGGUUUACCAGAGACAUUGUCAGAUUUUUUGGUCAACCCAUUAAGCUGUAGAGUUUCCCCAUUGACGAGUAAAAUCGUUUGGCAUUAGACAAGUGAAAAAAAAGUAGAGCGCACUAGGGCGUGUUGUGCCUCAUUGGGUUAAUAUACAGUAGCAGAGAACAAUAUUUAAGAACAUUGUCUUUAUAGCUUAAGUCAACAUCAUUAAUUUAACUGAUCAAAGUGCAUUAUUACUACAUGUUUAUUUUCCUGUUUANNNNNNNNNNNNNNNNNNNNCCCACUGUAUAAGCCCAUCAAAAAUCCCAUAAAAAUGUAGCUCAGGGUUUAUAGUCAGAGAUUUACAGUAUUCCAUCCAUUAAGAUGUGAUGUUGUGAUGGAUUAACAGACUGUCUGUGCAUGUCUCAGUUAUCAUUAGCAUGUACAUACCCUAGUUUAAUUUCUAUUAGUGCUGUGCGCCGGAGUUGCCGGAGCCGGAGUUCUGCCGGAGCUCCGGCAGUUUUUCCGACGCCGGAGCAGAAUUUUGUAUGCCGGAGCCGGAGUUACAUUCUCCCAGCUCCGGCAAAAUGACAAGAAAACAAUAUGAAAUGAGAGGCGUGGUUAAGUGUUUUCACUGUUUUGUUUCCUGAGUUAUGUUAUUUGAUAAUUAGGAAGCACGAAAAUGGUUAUUCAUAAUAAUAUUAAUAAAUGUUCUCUGAUCGUAAAAUAUUAAAAUAUUUAUUUAAUAUUUUAUGAUGUGGCCGGAGCCGGAGCUCAGAGCUAUAAUUCAGCCGGAGUUGAAAAACCGGAGUUUGCACAGCACUAAUUUCUAUUUGACUUCAGUCUCACACCAGGUGUUGGUUGUUUAUAGCCAGAUUAAUUACCCUAGCCCGUAGUUAAAAUUUAUGUCUUUCUACAUACAGUAUCUUAAAGUUGUUUUAAAAUUAUGAAAAGAAAACUCCUAUGGUACUGAUCCAGACAAGAUGUCAAAAAAAUAUUUCCAAAUUUAUAAACAAACUGUUAGGAAGUUUGCUUAAUCUAAGGUUAACUUAUCGGCUUUCGAAAAAUCAACCCCUGCAUGGUGAUUUUUCUUAAUUGUCAAGGGGGAGUGUGUUGGACUUAAAAUGUUUUAACCUUUAGUUAAAACUAGAUUGUCUGCCUGCAUUUUGUGUUAACACAUUAUUAAGAUAAAAGGCAGGCUACUUUCAGUGCUUCAUGAUUUUACUAUCAUAAUGUCUAACAUCAGAGGGUCACAUUUCACAUUAACCCUUUUAGACGCAAAGGACAUUAUAGUCAUCCAGAAGGGGAGGGAGUCCUAGAGUAGAAUCGUCUGAGACUGAUAAUAGUAAGAUGUACUAAGACAUCAAUGGAAUGGGGUAGGAGAGUUAAAUUCCAAGUUUCUUUGUAUGUCAUGCUUUCAAGGAUGGGUGGAUCGGUUUCAAUAAAAAUGUCAAUUUAAUGUUUUGUGUGGCAACUUCAAUAUGGACAUAUCCCUAAUUGGAAACUGUUAAAGUCGUUAGUUUGUUUGUUCAAACUCAUGAAUGCAUUUAACUACACCACCCACAUGACCUGCUUAGUAUUAUGUAAAAACCCAAUUCACUCCAAUUAACCCAGUUUUCAGCACUUUCUUAAAUAUCACCUUUCCUAAUGCUGGACAAGUUAAUUUGUGUGUAUCUAGAUUUUGCCCAUGUUUCAUGUUGACAUAUUUAGAUGCAAUUUUCCCUAACACCCCCUACUUUAAGUACUUUAAUAUUGAACUGUGACGUCUCAUGCUAGACAAUUUUACUUAUCAAAUGUGGACUGCUUGCCCUCAUUUCAACUAUUAACACCUAAGGAACAGAGGUUGCCUACUUUUGGUUCUUUCUAGGGAUGUGCAGGACAGAGUAUUUCUGCUAUCCAGCCAGAUACAGGAUAUGCUGGACAGCUGAAAAAUAUCCAGCCCGAUUCAGGGUAUUAUUCAGAUAAUUAUAUAAGGUUCAGGCAUCAUUUAAGGUUAACUAAGCACCAGUAAUGAUUUUAUUUGGUUAAAAGGUAAACAGUCUAAAACUAGUAAACAUGCAUCAUUGGUAGCAAAAGCCUCUUUACAUCAGUUAAAAGUUCAAAUCCGCAUUUACUGUACAGACAAGCAUAAAAAUAUCUUGAAAAUACUUGAAAAUACUUAUACAUGUUUAAUAUCAUAUUUUUACUUCAAUUAUCAUGAUAUGAUAACCUUAUCAAAUCAUUUUCUAACCUGAAAAGAAGGCCUGAACUUUAUAUAAAUAAGGGCAGCCACAUACCUGAUAAUGAAUUAAAAUCUUAAUAUCCAGAAUAUCUGGCCAGAUAUUGUACCAGUCCAUUGCAUCCUAUGUCUUGAAAUGUCAAACAAAUUAACUCGUUAAGGGGAGAGUGUUGGUUAUACAUAUAUGAGAUUACUGUAUAUUUAUAUUCAAUAUACUUAGUUAAUAUAUGCACCCUUUUUUUGUUAACCCUUUGAGCAGCAAUGUGCCCAAGUACACCCUACUUUAUGUUGCACUAUCUAGCACCAGACAUUUUACUUUAUGAAAUGCCAGACAAUUUUACUAAUUAUUUAUUCAGCUGCGCCAACUCACCACAACAGCUUAUGCCAAUUACUGUGUGCCCUUUUUACCUAACCCACCCUGUCAACUUUACCUGUGCCUGUGGGAGGAAACCGGAGUACCCGGGGAAAAACCACGACUUUCAGCAGAGUGUAGACUUUUUACUCUUUUCACGUGAGGACUGGGUUCGAGUCGCAUUAAGAAAGUUCUCACUGAGACUUGAACCAGCGACCUUAGAGGUGAAAGGCAAUAACCCAUUAAGCUGAAAUGCGGCGAAAUGGACCCGCCUUUGUUACUUUACUCUGUCGAACGCCAGACAAUUUUAGUCAUCAAGAAGAGAGUCCUGCGUACUAGUGGGUUAAAUGACUUAAUUACAUAUGUUAUAUAUAAACUUAAGCUGUUAGAUUGUCCUAUUGUAUAUUAAUUUUUUAUUUAUAUCUUGACACAGGCUUGUAUGUUCGAUCGAUAUGACUACCUGUAAAUAUGGUUAAACUUGGCUAUGUGAUCCGAGCGAUAAAGAAAAUGAUACAAAGAUUGAAUGAUUGGAUGCAAGUUAUUUACAGUGUUUCAAAUGACAGGUAUCUGAUUGUGGAAGAUGUGGGGUUACAAUAUUUUGACAAUUGCAUGGCUAUAAAGUACGAGACAAUUAAUGUAGUACUCCAUUACUCUAAUUGUUAGAACACUACAUCAGAAUGAGAAGUUGUCUGUAAUAGUUCGGUUGAGUAAAAGUACACAGUAAAAGUACAUAGUCAGCUAUGUAAAAUGGAAUUUAGUCAGUGUCAAAUAAAUUUUUGUCAUGGAUAAACUCUGUAAAAAUGAGCAUGUCUCUAAUGUCAUUUUACUUUAAAUAAGAAUAUCUAGAUGUGUUUUCUAAUACACCUUAGGUUUGCUUUGUUAUAUAGCAUCUUUUGUGGUGUGUUAUGUAACACACCUUAGUGUGUUAUGAAACACACCUUACAACGUGCUGUAAACAUUACAGACCUGAAUGGUGUGUUAUACAGCACAGCUUUAGGUGUUUUUAAAACACGCCAUGGUGUGUAUGAAAACACGCCAUGG